CAGCAGCCGCGGUAAUACGUAGGUCCCGAGCGUUGUCCGGAUUUAUUGGGCGUAAAGGGAGCGCAGGCGGUUUAGUAAGUCUGAAGUUAAAGGCAUUGGCUCAACCAAUGUAUGCUUUGGAAACUGUUAGACUUGAGUGCAGAAGGGGAGAGUGGAAUUCCAUGUGUAGCGGUGAAAUGCGUAGAUAUAUGGAGGAACACCGGUGGCGAAAGCGGCUCUCUGGUCUGUCACUGACGCUGAGGCUCGAAAGCGUGGGUAGCGAACAGGAUUAGAUACCCCCGUAGUCCCUGUCUCUUAUACA
rnacentral:rRNA from 1 species